GGUGGCGUGUCCGAGCGGCCGAAGGUGCAUCACUCGAAAUGAUGUGUAGGUUCAUCCCUACCGUGGGUUCAAAUCCCACCGCCACCGCCA
rnacentral:tRNA from 1 species